CGCGAGACUCGAAAGCAACGUUUGGUAUAGAACUUUGUAGUCUAUGACAGUGCUUGAAUUGAUCACUGUCGAAACGAGAAUCUCAGAGGCCCCGCCUUUAUCUGUAAAUAUAAUUUACACGGCUUUUCGCGACGAUGUUUUUAUAAAUAAAGAUAUAGAUCAACGGGCAGCAGAGCGUUGCAAUUAUGGAUACUAAAGUGAUAUGUUUCUUCGCUAUACUUUCGCAAGCGGCGGCCCUGUUGACGUCACCGCCGCGGAUAGUCAAACAGCCGACGGUGGAGGAGCUGCUGUUCCAAGUGGCACAGCCGGGGGAGGUGGACAAGCCGUUCAUCAUCGAGUGCGAGGCGGAGGGCGAGCCGGCGCCUAAAUACCGAUGGAUUAAGAACGGAAAGCCGUUCGAAUACACGAGUUACGAUAAUCGAAUUUCUCAGCAACCUGGACGCGGUACCUUGGUUGUGAGUAGGCCCCGGGACGAGGAUCUCGGGCAGUACCAGUGUUUUGCGUACAAUGAAUGGGGAACGGCGACAUCCAACUCCGUAUUCGUACGGAAAGCUGAACUCAAUUCAUUCAAAGACACCGACGGCCCCCAAACCAUCAUCACAGCUCAAGAGGGUUUACCGUUUAAACUCACGUGUAACCCGCCAGAUGGUCAUCCCAGCCCGAACGUGUACUGGAUGUUGCAAGGAGAACAGGGUCAGCUGAAGACGAUAAACAACUCGCGAAUGACCUUAGAUCCCGAAGGAAACUUGUGGUUCUCGAACGUGACGCGGUACGACGCGAGCGUGGACUACGCGUACACUUGUGCGGCGAAAUCGGUGUUCCGGAAUGAAUACAAGCUCGGCAACAAGGUGUAUCUUCAAGUACAGCAAACGGGAAUAUCGCCCACCCUCAACAAGCACGAGCCGGUCCGCCAGUACACGACCAGGAGAGUGGAAAAAGCGUGGCGGGGCAAGAAAGUCGAACUGUACUGCAUCUAUGGCGGAACGCCGUUGCCCCAAGUGGUGUGGAAGAAGGACGGUCGAACGAUACUGUCCUCGCAGCGGAUAACGCAGGACAACUACGGGAAGACGCUGGUGAUAAAGAGGUCGGGUUAUGAGGACCAGGGCACGUACACUUGUGAGAUCAGCAAUGGGGUGGGGCAGGCGCAGUCCUACUCGAUACAGUUGAAUGUCGAAGCCGCGCCGUUCUUCAUAGAGGAGCCGCAGUUCCAGAACCUGGCGGAAGGCGAGACGGCCACCAUACACUGUAAGGCCGGCGGUACACCGGAGCCGCAGAUCACGUGGGUGCACAACGGGAAACCGAUCGAGCAGGCGGAACCUAACCCCAGACGGCAGGUCACGCCCAAUUCCAUCGUCAUCACAGACCUGGUGAAGAAGGACACGGGCAACUACGGGUGUAACGCGACCAACUCGAAUGGUUACGUGUACAAGGACAUCUAUAUUAACGUUCAGUCUAUACCGCCGGAAAUCAAGGAGGGGCCGGAGAACUUGACGAAGGUGGACGGAUCGGAAGCGGUGCUCAAGUGUCGCGUGUUCGGCGCGCCCAAGCCGAUCGUGCGCUGGAUGAGAGACGACGUCGACGUCACCGGCGGCAAGUACAACAUCACGCCCGAAGGCGAUCUGGUGAUCCGUGACGUGUCGUACACGGACGUGGGCACGUACCAGUGCUACGCUAAGAACAAGUUUGGGGAGAAAUCCGCUUUUGGUUCCUUGACUGUUAAGAAGCGCACGGUGAUCACGGACAAGCCGGAGCACUACGAGGUGUCGGCGGGCGCGGCGGCCACGUUCCGCUGCAACGCGAACGCGGACGACUCGCUGCGGCUGGAGAUCGUGUGGCUCAACGACGGCCAGCCCAUCGACUUCGACAGCCAGCCGCGCUUCCGCAUGACCAACGACUACUCGCUGCUCAUCUCCGACACCAGCGAGCUGGACAGCGGCGAGUACACCUGCAUCGCGCGCACGCCCAUCGACGAGGCGCGCGCGCAGGCCACGCUCACCGUGCAGGACAAACCGAACCCGCCCGCUCUCGACGGCAUCGAAUGCCACGAGAAAGUGGCCACGCUGCGCUGGCACUCCAUGGGCGACAACAGAGCACCGAUCCUGCGCUACAGCAUCCAGUUCAACACCUCCUUCACUCCGGACACCUGGCUCGAAGCGACCGAUGCAGUGCCAGCCAUAGACACGGCCUGGACCCUGUCGCUUUCACCCUGGGCUAAUUAUACCUUUAGGGUGGUGGCGUGGAACAAAGUGGGAGCCUCUACGCCGUCCAAACAUUCGGACGUGUGUACGACUCAGCCGGACGUGCCGUAUAAGAACCCGGACAAUGUCGAAGGCAAGGGACGCGAUCCUACCAACAUGGUCAUCUCUUGGUCGAAAAUGCCGCAAAUCGAGCACAACGGGCCCGGCUUCUACUACCAGGUGUCGUGGCGGCGCAACAUCAGCGGCACGCCGUGGAGCGAGCAGCCCGUGCGCGACUGGGCGCUCAGCGAGCUGCUCGUGCCCAACACGCCCACCUUCCAGCCCUAUAGGAUCAAGGUUAUCGCAGUGAACUCCAAAGGCACAUCGAACGUGGCGCCCGUCGAAGUGAUCGGCUGGUCCGGAGAGGACACGCCGCUGCAAGCGCCGGCCAACUUCUCCCUCGUGCAGGUCACCACUGGCAACACGGCCUUAUUGAGCUGGAAUCCAGUCCCGGCCGAAUCCGUUCGCGGACAUUUCAAAGGAUACAAGAUUCAGACCUGGGUCGAUGGAGACGAGGAUAGAUUGAAAGAGGUGCUCGUGAAAUCGGACGCCUCCAGCGCGCUGGUCUCCGUUUUCAAACCAUUUAAAAAGAACAACGCCAGAAUCUUGGUCUACAACGGCAGGUUCAACGGCCCUCCCAGUGAAACUCUAUCCUUCGUCACUCCGGAAGGAAAGCCUGGCACGGUCAAAUCCUUCGAAGUGUACCCCAUCGGAUCGUCGGCGAUGCUGCUGAAAUGGGACAAGCCCAUGGACGAGAACGGCGUACUGACCGGCUACAAGAUCUACUACCAGAAAGUGAGCGGCACAUCCCUCGGGCCCCUGCAGGAGAGGAAGAAAGAAAUCGACCCGAAAUUCGACCGCGCCAAGCUGGCGGGGCUCGAGCCGAACACCAAGUAUCGUAUCGAAAUACGAGCCAAGACCAAGGCGGGCGAAGGCGAUAAGUACUACGUGGAGCAGACGACCAAAGCGAUGGUGAACGCCGUGCCCGACAUCCCUGUGUUCGAAGCCAGCACGCUGCCGGCCAAGGAGGGCUCGGCCCACAUCCUCGUGCGCUGGCUGCCGUCCCUCGACGGCCACGCUGGCACGCACUUCAUCGCGUGGUACCGGCUCAAAGGUCACCCCGACUGGUUGAACAGCAACGAGAUCACGGAAGACGAUUACGUGGUGCUCACCGGCCUGGAGCCGGGGCAGGUGUACGAGGUUAAGGUGACCGCUCACGACGGCGAGUAUUUCAGCACCAGCGAAGUUAUGGAGGUGGACACAACUACCGGUAAGUUAUACCCGGUGAUAAUGCGCGAGGAGGCGAUGGCGACGGCCGGCUGGUUCAUCGGCGUGAUGGUCGCGCUCGCCUUCCUCGUGCUCGUGCUGGUCGCCGUGUGCGUGGCGCGCCGCAACCGCGGCGGCAAGUACGACGUGCACGACCGCGAGCUCGCGCACGGCCGCACCGACUACCCGGACGCCGGCUUCCACGAGUACACGCACCCCUUGGACAGUAAGUCCCGCCACUCGAUGAGCAGCGGCACCAAGCCGGGCCCGGAGAGCGACACCGACUCCAUGGCGGAGUAUGGCGAAGGAGAAACAGCCGGUAUGAACGAGGACGGAUCGUUCAUCGGUCAGUACGGACGUAAGCGGCGCCCGCCCGCGUCCAGCCAGCAGGACUCGGCCUCGCAAGCAUUCGCCACGCUCGUGUAGAUGCACCUUUAUAUCCCACACCCGUUCCACUUUCGAACCUUUGCCUAUCGUUAAAAAAAAUACUAAUAACUGUCAAACAGAGUUUGAACUACGAAUUACCUUUGCGGGUCUUUCGCGCUUAAAAAAAAUUAAACUGUCAAAUUGAAAUUAGGAAUUAUCUAACUUUAAAUUUUGUUUAGCUAAUGCUGGAGUGCUAUUUUAAAAGUUAUUGUAUAAAUUUUAUAUGCGAAAUUUAAAAAUUAUUUUUAAAUCGUGCAAUGUAUGACGUAGUUCAAAGUUCAGGAUAAAUUUCAAACCAUAUGGCGCAGUUUUCUAGUGCCAUGGCAUUACAAUAAAAAUCGCUCUACAAACAAAAAAAGCGGCAGCCGUUCUUAUUAGUCCGUUUAAAUAAAUAGAAUACGCCCGCCGAAAUUCAAAAAAAUUUUCUUCCGAAAAUUGGUUGUGUUCGAAUCUCCUUGCAUUGAAUUUAUCGAAACGCGAUACGCGGACGUCCGGUCGUUGAACUAUUUCAAAAAUAGUUUAAUUGACCUCACGUAUCCGUGUUUUCGCAAAACAAUGCUAUUUUAACUUACAAUUAAGUACACAUUUAAAUAUAAUUAGGUUGUAAAAAAGAUAUUAUUAGUUGUAAUGAGUGUGUUGGAGUGUGACAGUGAACGUUUCAAUAUGAAAAUUUUAUUUUUUUAUAUAGCACGAGCUUUGUGUUGAGUUUAUGGUUUGCAUUUAAUGUUAGGGUAGGAUAGAUAGAUAGACGUGUCCUGUUUUCCGUCCUUGUUCCCCUUUCCCGUUGCCUACGCACGAGCAGCUAUUUCAUUUCUUUUUAUUUGUGUGAGGUCGUUUCACGGAGGACGGUUCGUUCAUCGGGCAGUACGUGCCGGGCGCGCGCGUGCUGCCCCCCGCGCCGCCCGCCCCCGCCGCCGCCCCCGCGCCACAACCCCCCACUUACGUGUAAACAUCCCCCUUCGCAACCCCGCCUAACCCCCUUCUACAAAUAAUAUGCGGGAUGCUACUAUGACCCUCGUUCAUGUGAGGGCUACAAAGUUUUGUGGAUUUGAGGGGUAGUUCAACACGCUAAUCUUGUCCGAUUGACCUAAAUUGGAAGCAAUAGUUUUGGAUUUGAGAAGAGUUUGAAGAGAGUGUAACACCAUACCCCCUUAUACCCGCAUAUGGGAUACGCACUUUGAUGGAUUUGACGGUAGCGAUCCCCCUUGUUACAUUGCUAGCGUGUGUGAAAUGAGAUGAGAACUACUCGCGUGUGUUAACAAACGUCCAGAAACAUAAAUAGUGGUGUGGAAGUCCACUGACACUUGAAUCUCAGAAAUACGCAGCAGUACGUGUUGGUAUUACUUAUUUAACUACAAACUGAAAGUUCUGGGAGUUGUUGGAUAGUCUGAUUUUACAAUCAUACUGAAAUGUUGAAUUAAUGCAGGUAUCUAAAUACAAGGGGGUGUGAACAACGUGGGGGUAUUUUUUUUUUUUGAAUUGCGGGUUAUUUCUCGUGGUCUGUGCACACUUGGCUUAUCGCCUCAAUUCAAAACAAAGUGUAAAGCAGCUUUAUUAAAGGCCACGUGACGUUCUUAUAUAUAAUUUAUAUAUAAUAUUCAUCAUUUAUAUUCAAAUGUUCUGAUCGUUUAGUUGAAAUUUAUUAGUUCAUGGGCCGGUAGCGUAAGAUUAUAAAUGAGCCUACUCGAAGUUAACUUUGGCCCGGAUUAGUUUGGCUGCAAUAGUCGAAUCUAGUGAAUCGCAUUGACAUAUAGAUUUGUUUUGUGAGACUGAUUUUAUGUAAUACGAUAUUGUAUAAUGUGACCGUUCAAUAUUGACGAUUUAGAAAAUAUGUUUUUUUUUUUUUUCAAUUUUGUAAGGUAUGGUGCAUCGGAGACAAAACAGAGAAACAAACAGAGAAAAGCCGGCACCUCUUUCUAGCAUUGAAUGUUUACUAAAUGAAAUCGAACCGCCAGUGUUACAUUUUAACAAUAAUUUGGUACAAAUUUGUACGGAAUUUUUAUGCUCAUGUUUUUGCGAUAGCUUCAAAAGUCGAAGGUAGCCGAUCAUUUGUCUGUUGUGACUUCGAUGCACCAUAUCGAUGACAUUGAAUUAUUAUUGAUUUAUCUUUCUCGUAAUUUUUCAUCACAAUCAGUGAAGUUUAAGGGGUUUUUAUUGGAUUCGUAGGUUAAUAUCCGGCUCGAUAUCAAUUAAGUAAGAUAGAAUGUUAGGCAAGCAGAUCAAGGACUCGCCAGACAGCGAAACGAAAGCGUGGAACCGUAGGAAUGUCUACUUAAAUGCUGUUUCUUUUUUAAUAUACACUAACCGUUCGCUUCGCCACGCCUUCGCUUCGCUAUCUGUUCGCGCCUUAAAGCUAUUUUUGUCACGAAAUUAAGAAUGUAAAUUUUUUAGCUCUGGUCGCCGGUGGUCAAAGUCCGCUUCAUAACGUCAUUUUAUUGUAAUAUAAUUAAAAAAAUAUGGCAGAUAAGAGUCAAUUUUUAAUGAAAAUCUUAUGAGAAAAUUCUAUUUAUCGGUCGAAAUUAUUUUUAUAUCGUAAUCAUAUCUAUACCAAAUAAUGGACCACGGAAUGUAUUUAUUUUGUAUGACCCUUUCAAAUAUUCUUCUAUAUUUCGAUAAGAAAAAGCUUUUCUUAGACCCUAUCUUUAAGUUUUAUUAUCAUUUUCAUAAAUCGUAUACGUAUCGCGCGGUACUUUAAUUCUCCCUUGUUGCUAUUACAUCGAUAUAUUUUUGUAAUAAAUCGCAAGCAGACGAAUCAUCCAAUUAUAUACAUCCCUAAUAUAUUCGCGAUUGGUAUAUUUUUGUAUCCACACAAAUCACCAAAGGUCUUAAACACCAAUUAAAUAUACACCAAUGAAAUUAAAAGAGUUAUAUAUAUUUACUGAUCGCUACGAGAGUAUUUAAUUGGCGAAUUAUUUUAGUAAACGUAUAGAGUCGAUGUAGACGAGUAACUGCGGGCAGUGAGACUCUAUGGCGGACUCUAUGAAUGGCGAAACGCUUUGACCGCCGGCCCUCGGUUGGUGCUUUGCGGAGUGAUUGUACGUUACGUAGUGUAGGCGCUCCGCUCGCGGACGUGUGUCGGUCAAUUCAAUACGUGCGAGGGCUUGGAUGUUUCUGGAAAGUCUCCUUUCUGAACGCGAAUGUUGGGAAAAAUUCGAGAAAACACACAACACUAUUACGAUAUUGCGUAGAAUCUCAGCAGCAAUCGGACGCUCUCUACCCUAUAUUUUUAUAGAAGCGAUCGCCAUGUUGUGACGUCACGGCGGAAAUUAUCUACUAGUGAUAUUAAGGCUUUUUGUAUUCACUAUUUAAUAAAGUACUAUCUGACUUCGUGAAGUGUGCACCUCACAUAUUGCAAGUUGACGAGUUGAUGUUUUCAAAUUUCUUAACGAGAUAAAGACGCAGUGUUGCCAGUGAAAUUUUUCAAGUUAUUAAUCUCAGUAGAUUUACCAAUGUUCAAAUUUUCCUAUGAAUAAGGUUGUACGCUCAUACGAUUCCUCCAAUGUUACUGUUUCGAAUUUGAAAGUUUCCGCCAUUACUAAUAGCGUAGUUAGGUUUGAAACGUGGCAGUCGUCUUUAUCUUGUACGAAACAAUUGUAAGUGUUAGAUAUAAGGCUAAGAGUUCGUGUUAACUAAUGUUAGGCAGCUAACGCGCCGCUUUGCAUCUCUUAUUUAUUAAUCUUAUACCAUUCAAUGUUAUAUAUUUAUUAAUUGUCACGUAUUAUUUAUUAACGCCUGAAAGGUGUCGGGUCCUAUAAAACAUUCCACGCGGUUUAACCAUGUUGAUUUUACAUAUUUAUUUUUCAAUUCUCUGCGCGCGUCAGUCAGAUGUAAUCUGUAACGUUUUAAAAACUUAAAGACUGACGUAUAUACUGCCGAUUCUCUAUGGCUUCCGCUGACGUCAUCACCGUAUACCAAGUCAGUGAGGAAAUCUGUCCCUUAAUUAUUAUAUUGCUCUUAUUGACUAUUAUUUGCAAGCACCACUAUUGUUCUCUUUUAGAGCUUAUAUGUAACCAUUUGUACCUUAUAUAUUGCAUUAUAUUUAAUGGCACUGUUAUUGUAACCCCUUUGAGUUGUUUGUUAAGGAGUCUUUAUCACGUCUAUUGUCUAGUAAGAAUUUAAUAUUAUAUAAUAGGGUUUGUACACAGAGGUGCUUUUUGCAGCGACACUGUCGCCUGUCGCCUGUCGCCCUGUAUCGCACGAGACUUAUGAACAACAACAUAACUAUGACAUUUUGCUGCGAAAAGUAGCCGUGUGUACGAGCCUUUAAUAUUUAAUUAAUAUAGUAGAUGAGCCUUGUUCGAAACGCGUUUUGUCGCUUUUUAUAAUCACAUGUUAGUUAUUAAAAGAUUCAUUCGAAUUUGUUAGCAUUCAAAAUGAAAAUUGUUAACCCACACGAUUAAAAUUACGGUGAUAUUCAUCACUGCCUUUCCUUAAGAAGUUUAUUGUAUGUGUUCAUUUUAUAUUUUACCUAUCUAUAACCCGUUAGUCGACACUUGCCUUAUGAGAAUAUCGAUAAUUUAAGUUAAUAGAGUAUGUAUUUCCAUUAACAAUCUCACAUACAUGUAAUGCACAAUUAUUGCAUUUAUCUCUGAAAAGUCACAAGUAAAUCUGUUAUUGUUCUGAUUCUCGUAUUACGACAACGGUGUAUAUUUAUCGAAGCAAGUGUAACAUGUAUAUUAUUGGUAGAUCUGACGUUUAAAAUGUAUGUAAUAGUUGAGAGUUCGAUGUCAUAGCUAAAAUACUGUUAAGUAAUCUAUAUUUAUUGUAAUCCAGUAGGCGGUUUGAUGUGCGGUAUAUUUGACCAGUAAAUGUAAAAAUGAACGCUCCUUUUAAUUAUCUGUGUGAUGGAAUAAAUAUCACAGAUUCAAAAUUGUGUGAUGAAAAAAGAUGGCAUUGUACACUGCCCUUCGAAAA